GCGUUUGUUUUCCCGUUUGGCUCCCUUCUCCCCCUAGCGGCCUGGAGCGGUACUGUUUUCGGAGGUUGCUGCGGUUCCAGCCAAUAGAUCGCUGGAGGGCGGACCCCACACACACCUGCGCCUCAUUCCCCAUCUCAUCAACUCCUGCAUUUAAACGCCGGCUUUUCUCUCACUCGUCGCCAGAUUGUCUGCUUGCCAUACGACCUUCCCCCCGUUCCUGCGUUCCUGCCGUUCCUGGUUUCCUGUGUUCCUGCCGUUCCUGGUUCUCCUAUGUUCCUGCCGUUCCUGGUUCUCCUGUGUUCCUGCCGUUCCUGGUUUUCCUGCCGUUCCGCCGUUCCUGGUCAUCCUGCAUUCCUGCCGUUCUUGGUUCUCCUGCGUUCCUGCCAUUCCUGGUUCUCCUGCCAUUCCUGGUCAUCCUGCAUUCCGGUUCAUCACUCCUGGUCAUCAGUCCGCCCUGCAGUUCCCCGGCGCUUCCAGUACCGCUCCUGCCGCUCCCCUCUCGUUUUCUGUUAUCUUUUUGGUUGUUUGUUUUUGUCGUUUAUUUAUUAUUUGUUUAAAUAAAAUAUCGUAUUAUCA